rnacentral:ncRNA from 2 species
GACGUUCAUCUCUUAUGGCUCAGUCAUGUAGUUGAUUUGGCAAUAAGGGACGGAAGUAAGGAAAUAUCCCGAAGGAACGCGCC